UUUUUUUUUUUUUGAGAGAAAGGUAGCAUGCUACCCGCUUCAUUCAUUUAGUAGAUGAAUUUAGUUACAGGGAUUGAGGCAAUGCGGCCUCGGAAAACGUUGAAGGCAACCAAAACAAAAAUGACAAAUAAAAACUAAAAUUAAAAAAACUAUAGAAAAUUGAUACUUGUACUCCUCACUCAAAACCCCUUACUCAAAACCAAUGCAUUAAGAGCUGCAAAACUUAGUCCAUUCUCUAUUCACGUUCCGUAUUCGUCUAAUAGUCAAAAAAGAGACAAAUGAUUGGCUUCUAAAAAUAAUAUUAUUUCUUUCUUGCCAGAUUAUUCACGAACAGGUUACGACCCUCGUUAGAUCCCUCGCAACUGCCCCUUGGCAGCGGUCCCCAGCAAGAAGCUCCCAAACACUCCUGACCUUCAUCCCAUGCCCUGGAACUUGGCGGCGUUCCCCAGCCAGAAGCUCCCAAACACUCCUGACCUUCAUCCUAGGCCCUGGAAUGUGCCUACCUUCUAGGAUGUUGUACAUAAAAAAUCCACUGAUUACGCAUCCAACUAGCAGAUGAUCAACAGUCUCGAAAUCGUUACCGCACAUCACACACUGUUGAGUCCCAAACCAGCCUCUU
rnacentral:lncRNA from 1 species